rnacentral:rRNA from 1 species
GAUGAACGCUGGCGGCGUGCCUAAUACAUGCAAGUCGAGCGAACAGAUGAGGAGCUUGCUCCUCUGACGUUAGCGGCGGACGGGUGAGUAACACGUGGAUAACCUACCCAUAAGACUGGGAUAACUUCGGGAAACCGGAGCUAAUACCGGAUAAUAUAUUGAACCGCAUGGUUCAAUAGUGAAAGACGGUUUUGCUGUCACUUAUAGAUGGAUCCGCGCCGCAUUAGCUAGUUGGUAAGGUAACGGCUUACCAAGGCAACGAUGCGUAGCCGACCUGAGAGGGUGAUCGGCCACACUGGAACUGAGACACGGUCCAGACUCCUACGGGAGGCAGCAGUAGGGAAUCUUCCGCAAUGGGCGAAAGCCUGACGGAGCAACGCCGCGUGAGUGAUGAAGGUCUUCGGAUCGUAAAACUCUGUUAUUAGGGAAGAACAAAUGUGUAAGUAACUAUGCACGUCUUGACGGUACCUAAUCAGAAAGCCACGGCUAACUACGU